AGAGUUUGAUCAUGGCUCAGGAUGAACGCUAGCUACAGGCUUAACACAUGCAAGUCGAGGGGCAGCAUGGUCUUAGCUUGCUAAGGCCGAUGGCGACCGGCGCACGGGUGAGUAACGCGUAUCCAACCUGCCUUACACUCUUGGACAGCCUUCUGAAAGGGAGAUUAAUACAAGAUGUUAUCAUGAGUAAGCAUUUUCGCAUGAUUAAAGGUUUACCGGUGUAAGAUGGGGAUGCGUUCCAUUAGAUAGUAGGCGGGGUAACGGCCGACCUAGUCUUCGAUCAGUAGGGGUUCUGAGAGGAAGGUCCCCCACAUUGGAACUGAGACACGGUCCAACUCCUACGGGAGGCA
rnacentral:rRNA from 1 species